AACGAACGCUGGCGGCAUGCCUAACACAUGCAAGUCGAACGGAACCUUCGGGCCUAGUGGCGCACGGGGGCGUACCGCGGGGUAACCUACCCGUGGGUUCGGAAUAACUCCCUGAAGGGGGUGCUAAGACCGCUUAAUGUCAUCGCACAAAGGAUUUAUUGCUUUAGGAUGGGCGCUCGUUGGAUUCGGUGGUUGGUAGGGUACAAGCCUACCAUGGCGACGAUGCUUAGCUGGUCGGUGAGGAUGAUCAGCCACACUGGGACUGAGACACGGCCCAGACUCCUACGCAAGGCAGCAGUGGGGAAUAUUGGACAAUGGGCGAAAGCCUGAUCCAGCAAUGCCGCGUGAGUGAUGAAGGCCUUAGGGUUGUAAAGCUCUUUUACCCGAGAUGAUAAUGACAGUACCGGGAGAAUAAGCACCGGCUAACUACGUG
rnacentral:rRNA from 1 species